rnacentral:rRNA from 1 species
UACGUAGGGUGCGAGCGUUGUCCGGAAUUAUUGGGCGUAAAGGGCUCGUAGGCGGUUUGUCGCGUCGGGAGUGAAAACCCAGGGCUUAACCCUGGGCUGGCUUCCGAUACGGGCAGACUAGAGGUAUGCAGGGGAGAACGGAAUUCCUGGUGUAGCGGUGAAAUGCGCAGAUAUCAGGAGGAACACCAGUGGCGAGGGCGGAGACCUGGGCCGAUACUGACGCUGAGGUGCGAAAGCGUGGGGAGCAAACAGG